AAAUUGAAGAGUUUGAUCAUGGCUCAGAUUGAACGCUGGCGGCAGGCCUAACACAUGCAAGUCGAACGGUAACAGGAAGCAGCUUGCUGCUUUGCUGACGAGUGGCGGACGGGUGAGUAAUGUCUGGGAAACUGCCUGAUGGAGGGGGAUAACUACUGGAAACGGUAGCUAAUACCGCAUAACGUCGCAAGACCAAAGAGGGGGACCUUCGGGCCUCUUGCCAUCAGAUGUGCCCAGAUGGGAUUAGCUUGUUGGUGAGGUAACGGCUCACCAAGGCGACGAUCCCUAGCUGGUCUGAGAGGAUGACCAGCCACACUGGAACUGAGACACGGUCCAGACUCCUACGGGAGGCAGCAGUGGGGAAUAUUGCACAAUGGGCGCAAGCCUGAUGCAGCCAUGCCGCGUGUAUGAAGAAGGCCUUCGGGUUGUAAAGUACUUUCAGCGGGGAGGAAGGGAGUAAGGUUAAUAACCUUAUU
rnacentral:rRNA from 1 species